rnacentral:rRNA from 1 species
GACGAACGCUGGCGGCGUGCUUAACACAUGCAAGUCGAACGGAAAGGCCCUGCUUUUGUGGGGUGCUCGAGUGGCGAACGGGUGAGUAACACGUGAGUAACCUGCCCUUGGCUUUGGGAUAACUUCAGGAAACUGGGGCUAAUACCGGAUAGGAGCUCCUGCUGCAUGGUGGGGGUUGGAAAGUUUCGGCGGUUGGGGAUGGACUCGCGGCUUAUCAGCUUGUUGGUGGGGUAGUGGCUUACCAAGGCUUUGACGGGUAGCCGGCCUGAGAGGGUGACCGGCCACAUUGGGACUGAGAUACGGCCCAGACUCCUACGGGAGGCAGCAGCGGGGAAUAUUGCACAAUGGGCGGAAGCCUGAUGCAGCAACGCCGCGUGCGGGAUGACGGCCUUCGGGUUGUAAACCGCUUUCGCCUGUGACGAAGCGUGAGUGACGGUAAUGGGUAAAGAAGGACCGGCUAACUACGUG